rnacentral:rRNA from 1 species
UGGGGAAUAUUGGACAAUGGGCGCAAGCCUGAUCCAGCAAUGCCGCGUGUGUGAAGAAGGCCUUCGGGUUGUAAAGCACUUUCAGUGGGGAGAAAGGUGCGUGCAUUAAUACUGCACGUAAUUGAUGUUACCUACAGAAGAAGCACCGGCUAACUCUGUGCCAGCAGCCGCGGUAAUACAGAGGGUGCAAGCGUUAAUCGGAAUUACUGGGCGUAAAGCGUGUGUAGGUGGUUGAAUAAGUUAGAUGUGAAAUCCCCGGGCUUAACCUGGGAACUGCGUUUAAGACUGUUCAGCUAGAGUACUGUAGAGGAUAGUGGAAUUUCCAGUGUAGCGGUGAAAUGCGUAGAUAUUGGAAGGAACACCAGUGGCGAAGGCGACUAUCUGGACAGAUACUGACACUGAGACACGAAAGCGUGGGGAGCAAACAGGAUUAGAUACCCCCGUAGUCC